GACGGAGGAUGCAAGUGUUAUCCGGAAUCACUGGGCGUAAAGCGUGCGCAGGCGGUUUUGUAAGUCUGUCGUGAAAGCCCCGGGCUCAACCUGGGAAUUGCGAUGGAGACUGCAAGGCUUGAAUCUGGCAGAGGGGGGUAGAAUUCCACGUGUAGCAGUGAAAUGCGUAGAGAUGUGGAGGAACACCGAUGGCGAAGGCAGCCCCCUGGGUCAAGAUUGACGCUCAUGCACGAAAGCGUGGGGAGCAAACAGG
rnacentral:rRNA from 1 species